UUUAUCUUCCUGAGCAAAACUGCAAUCGUAACGCCAGAAUUCUGCCGCAAAGCCCCUGCUUACAGAUAUUUUAUGGAUCUGAGUCCAUAUGCCAAAUUACACAAAGAAGAGACUUAGCAAGACAAAGAGACACUCGCGUCAGAAUACAGUGGUUUAAAGUGCCCACCAAAAUUGCAAGAGGACCGCAGUGGCAGCCCAUCUCCUGACAGAUGAGGCCAGGUGGCCCCUGAAUACCACAGACACCAUAUACAGUGACGCACAAGAAGAGCACCCACCUUCUGGAUGGCACCAUGAUGGGUCCCUGCGCCCUGGAUGAGACCACAGCUGGGAGGGGUCAGUCAGCAUCACAGGGAGGCCCCCACGUAGAGUAGCCGCAAUAGGUUACCAUGAUCAAAGCAUAAAGGAAGCAUCACCAGUGACCAGUCCCAGUAAGGAAGUCAGAUGAUCCAUCCCACACCAUGUAGGGAGCACACACACGGCAUGUGGCACAGCCACCAGGAAUGAAGGGCUGAAUUCUGCAUCACCUCCCAGGGGAGCAACUAUC
rnacentral:lncRNA from 1 species